UACGUAGGGGGCAAGCGUUGUCCGGAUUUAUUGGGCGUAAAGAGCGUGUAGGCGGCCAUACAGGUCAGCUGUGAAAACUCAGGGCUCAACCCUGAGCGUGCUCCGAUACGGGCAGACUAGAGGUAUGCAGGGGAGAACGGAAUUCCUGGUGUAGCGGUGAAAUGACGCAGACUAUCAGGAGGAACACCGGUGGCGAAGGCGGGGUCUCUGGGCCGAUACUGACGCUGGAGGAGCGAAAGCGUGGGGAGCAAACAGG
rnacentral:rRNA from 1 species